rnacentral:rRNA from 1 species
UUCUGUGUCAGGCAUAUGUACCAGAAUUUCCAUAAGCUACACAAGGGGGAACAGUUGAAGAACAAUCUUUGGGCAAUUGCAAGAGCCACAAACAAUCCUACAUACAUGAAAGCUAUGGAAAAGAUGUUGGCCGACAGUGUGGGUGCAUACAAAUGGGUAGAGAAAUGGCCUCCAAAGACAUGGAUUAAAGCCUUUUUUAACCCUUUUCCAAAAUGUGACAUUCUACUGAAUAACAUGUCUGAAGUAUUUAAUAGUUGGAUAUUGCCAGCAAGAGAAUUACCAAUUUUAUCUAUGGUGGAUAACAUAAACAACAAGAUAACAGCAAGGAUUUACAACAAGCAGAAGGAAGUGGCCCUGGAUAGGAAAUGGAGUGGUAGAUUGUGCCCUAAGAUUAAGAAAAAACUUGACAAAUUUACUGACUGGGCUGCUAAUUGCAUGGUAUUUGGAGCUGGCCAAAAGGUUUUCAAAGUUGUGUCAAUAAACCAUUCUUACAUUGUGGACUUGAACCUGGAAACAUGUGACUGCAAAAGAUGGGACUUGUCCGGAAUUCCAUGUCACCAUGCAAUAGCUUGUGCUAGAGAGGAGAGAAUAGAUCCUGCAACUCUAGUACAUGAAUGCUACUCUGUGGAUUCUUACAAAAAUGCUUAUGGAUUUAACAUAAAGCCAGUGAGAGACAAGGAGCAUUGGAGAAAGAUGUAUGGAGUUGAUGUAUACCCACCUGUGUACACUAAGGUCAUGGGAAGACCAAGGAGGAAUAGGAAGAAAGAUCCAGAGGAGAAGCAGAUGAAA